CGUUCUGCGUUGUAAACUGCUUUUAUCUGGGAAGAAAAGGCCCGUGCGCGGGACAUUGCCGGUACCAGAUGAAUAAGCACCGGCUAACUCCGUGCCAGCAGCCGCGGUAAUACGGAGGGUGCAAGCGUUGUCCGGAUUUAUUGGGUUUAAAGGGUGCGUAGGCGGCUAUUUAAGUCAGCGGUGAAAGACUUCGGCUCAACCGGAGCAGUGCCAUUGAUACUGGAUAGCUUGAGUGUUGGAGGGGUACAUGGAAUUGAUGGUGUAGCGGUGAAAUGCAUAGAUACCAUCAGGGACACCGAUAGCGAAGGCAUUGUACUGGCCAACAACUGACGCUGAGGCACGAAAGUGUGGGGAUCGAACAGGAUUAGAUACCCUGGUAGUCCACACUGUAAACGAUGAUUACUCGCUGUUAUGCUGUAUAGUGUAGCGGCCAAGCGAAAGCGUUAAGUAAUCCACCUGGGGAGUACGCCGGCAACGGUGAAACUCAAAGGAAUUGACGG
rnacentral:rRNA from 1 species